rnacentral:rRNA from 1 species
UACGUAGGUGGCAAGCGUUGUCCGGAUUUAUUGGGCGUAAAGCGCGCGCAGGUGGUUUCUUAAGUCUGAUGUGAAAGCCCACGGCUCAACCGUGGAGGGUCAUUGGAAACUGGGAGACUUGAGUGCAGAAGAGGAAAGUGGAAUUCCAAGUGUAGCGGUGAAAUGCGUAGAUAUCGAGAGGAACACCAGUGGCGAAGGCGAGUCCCUGGACAACACCUGACACUGAGGCACGAAAGCUAGGGGAGCAAACAGG